rnacentral:rRNA from 1 species
AGAGUUUGAUCCUGGCUCAGAAUCAACGCUGGCGGCGUGCCUCAGACAUGCAAGUCGAACGAUUAAAGCUCUCUUCGGAGAGUGCAUAAAGUGGCGCACGGGUGAGUAACACGUAAGUAAUCUACCUCUGAGUGGGGAAUAACGUCCGGAAACGGACGCUAAUACCGCAUAAUGCAGCGGCAUCAUAAGAUGACAGUUGUUAAAGAUUUAUCGCUUAGAGAGGAGCUUGCGGCAGAUUAGCUAGUUGGUAAGGUAACGGCUUACCAAGGCUACGAUCUGUAACCGGUCUUAGAGGACGGUCGGUCACACUGACACUGAGUAACGGGUCAGACUCCUACGGGAGGCAGCAGUCGGGAAUUUUGGGCAAUGGGCGAAAGCCUGACCCAGCAACGCCGCGUGAAGGAUGAAGUAUUUCGGUAUGUAAGCUUCGAAAGAAUAGGAAGAAUAAAUGACGGUACUAUUUAUAGGGUCCGGCUAACUACGUGCCAGCAGCCGCGGUAAUACGUAGGGACCAAGCGUUGUUCGGAUUUACUGGGCGUAAAGGGCGCGUAGGCGGCAUGACAAGUCACUUGUGAAAUCUCCGGGCUUAACUCGGAACGGCCAAGUGAUACUGUCACGCUAGAGUAUUGGAGGGGCAAUCGGAAUUCUUGGUGUAGCGGUGAAAUGCGUAGAUAUCAAGAGGAACACCUGAGGUGAAGACGGGUUGCUGGCCAAAUACUGACGCUGAGGCGCGAAAGCCAGGGGAGCAAACGGGAUUAGAUACCCCGGUAGUCCUGGCCCUAAACGAUGAAUACUUGGUG